rnacentral:tRNA from 1 species
GAGGGUAUAGCUCAUCGGUAGAGCACAUGCUUAGCAUGCAUGAUGUCCUGGGUUCAAUCCCCAGCAGCUCCG